UCUUCACAGAAGGCGUUGCCAAGCACUGGAACAAGCUGCCCAGGGAAGUGGUGGAGUCACCACGCCUGGAGGUGUUUAACAGAUGAGUAGAUGUGGCACUGAGGGUCAUGGUUUAGUGGUGGAUUUGGCAGUGAGUUUACAGGUGGGCUCAGUGAUCUGAAAGGUCUUUUUCAACGUACAUGAUUCUAAAUUACUCUAAACACAAAAACAUAUUAAGGACAUUUCAUGGACUUAAAUGUUUUCCUCUCUGUGUAUGCAUCCCGUUUAUGAAGGUUUCACCUUUUCUUUGCCCAUAUCACAACCCGGAUUUUGUUGUCUUUACACUGGGACAAUGCAGACCCUGAACUGCUUCUACUUCUGCCAUGGGUAAAUUGCCAAAGCAGAGGGAUGGCACAAAUACCUUGUUGUGGGACUUGCUGUUUUAGUAAAACUACACAUAGACAUACUGAGAAAGAAAAAAUUCUUAUUGUUUGUUUGUUUUUUCUUAAAGUAACCUGGAAUCGAGACAAUGCUUUUCAAAAUUUUGCCGUGAAGUCUCACCUGACCUUCCUGGUUGUAGGCUGCCAGAUGCACUCCGUGUGGUUAAGAAAUUGGUGCUGUCCAAGGGGAGGACAACAAACUUGACUCAAGGGCCUGUACCAGAAGCCAGCCAGUUUUGACCUCUGAGAAUCAGCCCAUGCAACCUCAGCUACCACUAGUAAGAAAUUAUUCAGACAAGUCACUCCUCUAACCACUCACCCAGUGAGUGGGUUGCAUCCAAGUUGCUGCCAUGG